ensembl:snRNA U6 U6 spliceosomal RNA
GUGCUCACUGCAACAGCCCAUAUACUAAUACUGGAAAGAUACAGAGAUGAUUAGCAUGGCCCCUGACAAGGAGUACUUGAAAAUUCGAAAAAUGUUCCAUAUUUUU